UGGGGAAUAUUGCACAAUGGGCGCAAGCCUGAUGCAGCCAUGCCGCGUGUAUGAAGAAGGCCUUCGGGUUGUAAAGUACUUUCAGUCGGGAGGAUGGUGGUAAGGUUAAUAACCUUAUCAAUUGACGUUACCGACAGAAGAAGCACCGGCUAACUCCGUGCCAGCAGCCGCGGUAAUACGGAGGGUGCAAGCGUUAAUCGGAAUUACUGGGCGUAAAGCGCACGCAGGCGGUUGAUUGAGUCAGAUGUGAAAUCCCCGGGCUUAACCCGGGAAUUGCAUCUGAUACUGGUCAGCUAGAGUCUUGUAGAGGGGGGUAGAAUUCCAUGUGUAGCGGUGAAAUGCGUAGAGAUGUGGAAGAAUACCGGUGGCGAAGGCGGCCCCCUGGACAAAGACUGACGCUCAGGUGCGAAAGCGUGGGGAGCAAACAGG
rnacentral:rRNA from 1 species